UUUUGCAUUCGGAUAUGUUGUUGCUUGAGUUUGAGAGAGUGAUUAAGAGGUGUGGUUUCUUAAAGCUUACCUCAUCCACCCCAGUGGACUUCUCUGGUAACCUGACGAAUCACAGGGCACAAAACACACCUGUGUAUGCAUGGAGCUUAGCCAUUGGCCAGAGUAUGAAAACGACACCUGGGCAGGGCUCCAAGGUGUACCUGAAGACCCAGAUCUUUUUGUAGACGCAGUUUCUUCGCUUCAGGAGUUUAAGGAGAUUGUGUUUCUCGUAGUGCUUGAGAUUCCACUUCUAUUGUUCUGCUGAUUUGUUGCACCAACAGCUCUCCUCAAACAGGCUGGUGAACAUUCAAUUAAUAUGGAAGGAGCAGUUGGCCCUUCGGCAAAUAGAAAGAGCAGGAAGUAAACUCCUUUGGUUAAAUGGGCACAGCAAGGCGACACAAUGGCAUUUCUUGUUCACGGCGGCAUCUUGACUGACCACCUCAAGAAUCAAAGUGCUUCACCACAAAACCUGAUUCUUCUCCUGGCUCUUCACUCCUCCUGUGUGCCUCUAUAAAAUCCUCUGAUUUGCGUCUUACCAGGCAUGUUUAGACGCUUGUACUAUCUCUAAUACUGCCUGGUAAUGCUGCCAAUCACAAGGGAGUUGAUCAUCAUAACCUUCCUUCUUAGUCAGUACAGGAAACCUUUUUAUAUAUGCAUGUUAACAUUAUAGCUCCUGUUCAUCUGCUGAUCUGAUAUUUUUAUGUUUAGUGUCAUUAACAAAUUAUUUGAAUUCAUGCAAAUCCUGUGUCAUUAGUAUAUGCAAUAAAUGUUAUUUCAUUUAAAUGAAAUAAAUGUGUGCCGUUUUAAUUUUCUAUUACCUGCCCUGUAUGUAUUGUUUCUAAAUAGUGUAAUAGAGGAAUCACAGUUCACAUCCCAGCACUGCUGCCAGAGAGCUUAAUGGACCAAAGGGUGGUAUAAAAAUUAAGCUGAAAAAUUAAGGAAUUAAGUGGCAUUAAGUUGUCAUUCCCUUCAUUCAGUAGGACCAUUAACCCUUGAAUGCUCAGCUCUAUGCUAAAUUGUGUCCUAGUUGUAAACUUGGAUUAAAGCGUCUGCCAAAUAAAUAAGUCUAAACAGCAAAUGCAGAGCAAGUAGCGGUCUACUUAGUCUUACCAAUGAAAACACCCUAAUAAAGCCAUUCCCUGAUUAAGCAAAUCUUCCGAGGUCCCAAAACAAGGUAAUUUUUCCCAUGACAAAGUAAGACUGGUUUAUAAGAGAAACCGUCACUUGGCUGUCAUACUGUGUCUAUCAGCAUAUUCUGUUCCUGCUUGGCAGGAAAACAUGCUACAGCCGUUACCCGUUAGUUUUGUUGUUAUGUCUGAUGGAAAAGUACAACCUCAAAUAAACCUUUAGAUGAAUCAACAUGGCCAUAUGCAGGGGUCUAAUGUCCAUUCAGCGAUCAUUCUAGGUCAAUUUGUGUUUGACAAUUCGGUUGCAGUUGCAUAGUAGACAAGUUGCUUUUGCAUUUUCACAGAAAAUGUGAAAAUGCAAAAGCAUUUUGGCUCCUUUUAGUUCACUAGUAACAAUCUAACCCAUUAGUGAGUCCAGUGUGAUUAAUGGCAACAGGAUGUAAAAUAAACUAGUUUAUUGCUAAAUAUAACACAGUAAAACUUAAACCAGCUAAUUUGUGUAGUUGUUAUUAUAAUACACUGCCUAGCACAAAAAUGAGUUUCACUGGCUAAUAGUGAAAUCUGCUGCUCCAAUGAUUAUGUGGAAGUCAUAAAUUGAGACAGUGACCGUUGUAAAAAAGCGAUAUACAAAUAAAAUUGAAUUGAAUUGAAUAAAUCCGAUCUGGUCCUCAAUCUUCUACGUAGGGGGCUGCUGUGUAAAGCUACUUUGACCACACUUUUACAGCAGUAAAAGUGGCUAUUGUUACUGUUAUACUAUGGUGAACUUCAAACAUUCAUGCAGCAUUUUGGACUGAAAUGGCUAGCACUAGUGGUAACUUUAAUGUUGAUGACCACCUUUUCAACAAUUUGUAUGUUCAGUGUUAUAGAUUGAACCAAGUACUGGGUCUGUAUAUGAAGUGAUCUAAAGCCAAUACUGCUAUAAACUUAUUUAAAAGUAGAGAAAGUGCA
ensembl:lncRNA